ACUCAAAGGAAUAGACGGGGGCCCGCACAAGCAGCGGAGCAUGUGGUUUAAUUCGACGCAACGCGAAGAACCUUACCUGGGCUUGACAUGUUCCUGACCACCGUGGAAACACGGUUUCCCUUCGGGGCAGGAUCACAGGUGGUGCAUGGCUGUCGUCAGCUCGUGUCGUGAGAUGUUGGGUUAAGUCCCGCAACGAGCGCAACCCCCGUCGCAUGUUGCCAGCAUUUAGUUGGGGACUCAUGCGAGACUGCCGGUGACAAACCGGAGGAAGGUGGGGAUGACGUCAAGUCAUCAUGCCCCUUAUGUCCAGGGCUACACACGUGCUACAUUGGCGCGUACAGAGGGUUGCGAUACCGUGAGGUGGAGCGGAUCCCUUAAAGCGCGUCUCGGUUCGGAUUGCAGGCGAGUUUCAGCCUGCAUGAAGGCGGAGUUGCUAGUAAUCGCGGAUCAGCAUUGCCGCGGUGAAUACGUUCCCGGGCCUUGUACACACCGCCCGU
rnacentral:rRNA from 1 species